rnacentral:rRNA from 1 species
GACGAACGCUGGCGGCGUGCCUAAUACAUGCAAGUAGAACGCACAGUUUAUACUUUAGCUUGCUACACCAUAGACUGUGAGUUGCGAACGGGUGAGUAACGCGUAGGUAACCUGCCUGGUAGCUGGGGAUAACUAUUGCAAACGAUAGCUAAUACCGCAUAAUAUUAAUUAUUGCAUGAUAAGUAAUUGAAAGGUGCAAUUGCACCACUACCAGAUGGACCUGCGUUGUAUUAGCUAGUAGGUGAGGUAACGGCGCACCUAGGCGACGAUACAUAGCCGACCUGAGAGGGUGAGCAGCCACACUGGGACUGAGACACGGCCCAGACUCCUACGGGAGGCAGCAGGAGGGACUCGUGGGCCAUCGGCGGAAGUCUGACCGAGCAACGCGGCGUGAGUGAAGAAGGUUUUCGGAUCGUAAAGCUCUGUUGUAAGAGAAGAACCGGUGUGAGAGUGGAAAGUUCACACUGUGACGGUAACUUACCAGAAAGGGACGGCUAACUACGUG